UACAGAGGGUGCAAGCGUUAAUCGGAAUUACUGGGCGUAAAGAGUGCGUAGGCGGAUUUUUAAGUCAUGUGUGAAAUCCCUGGCUUAACCUAGGAAUUGCGCCUGAUACUGAGAGUCUAGAGUAUGGUAGAGGACAGUGGAAUUUCUGGUGUAGCGGUGAAAUGCGUAGAUAUCAAAAGGAACACCAGUGGCGAAGGCGAACUGUCUGGGCCAAUACUGACGCUGAGGCACGAAAGCGUGGGGAGCAAACAGGA
rnacentral:rRNA from 1 species